CUGGGCAAUUACACCACCUUGAGAGUGGCAGAUCUCGCCAGAUCUCAGAAGUUCAGGAGGGUUGAGCCUGGUUAGGACUUGGAUGGGAGACCGCUGGGUAUAACAGCGAGAAAGCACUUC
rnacentral:rRNA from 1 species